AAUAGAUACCCCGGUAGUCCACGCCGUAAACGAUGGAUGCUAGCUAUUGGGGGGAAUCGACCCCCUCCGAAGCGAAGCUAACGCGUUAAGCAUCCCGCCUGAGUAGUACGAGCGCAAGCUUAAAACUCAAAGGAAUUGACGGGGACCCGCACAAGCGGUGGAGCGUGUGGUUUAAUUCGAUGGUAAACGAAGAACCUUACCAAGGUUUGACAUCCCGGUAGCCGUUCUCCGAAAGGAGAAUUUCAUUUAGUUGGACCGGUGACAGGUGAUGCAUGGCCGUCGUCAGCUCGUGUCGUGAGAUGUUGGGUUAAGUCCCGCAACGAGCGCAACCCUUAUGAUUUAGUUGGAUUUUUCUAAACAGACUGCCCUGGUAACAGGGAGGAAGGAGGGGAUGAUGUCAGGUCAGUAUUUCCCUUACACCUUGGGGCGACACACGCGCUACAAUGGCCGGUACAAUGGGCAGCUAAGCCGCGAGGUGGAGCAAAUCCCAUCAAAGCCGGUCCCAGUUCGGAUUGCAGGCUGAAACCCGCCUGCAUGAAGCCGGAAUCGCUAGUAACC
rnacentral:rRNA from 1 species